AAGUGAGGAGAUAGGUGAGAGCUUUUCACCAUUGUUACUAUUCACUUCAAACUUUCCAAGCUCAUAUCUUGAGCUACGGAGCUCCGAUCGCCGCACCGUUUGUGGCUACGCGUUCCUUGUGAAGAGCUCUACCAAACCCACCCAAGAAACCUUCAAGGUUUGCUCUAAUCCUUGCUUAGCUUUGGAUUUGUGUUAUCAAAUCUGUUGGGAAAGGUAAAAGCUCUUAAACCCUUGUGAGAUUAUGCUUAUGUUGAACCCUAGGUUGAUUUGUGGUGAUUUAUAUGUAUAUAGUUUGAUUAUUGUGGCUUUGGGAGCUUUUGGAACUUAUUUGUGCUUAUUGGAGUGGAUUUGAAAGCUUGGAUUGUGAUUGGAAGCUUGUUGGUGCUCAUUUUGAGUUUGGGUGCAUAAAGGGAAUCGGCCAAGAUGCAGGUCGCAACCCACCUCGGUGAGUUGCUUUGGUUGGUGACAGGAGCGGAGAAUCUUGGAUCAUUUUGGAGUUCUUUUUGGU